UUGAAAAGCUUCAACUCCACAGCUUCUCACCAGAGAGGACGCCUGCUACAGACUCACGAAAAAAAAAAAUAUCGCGUACACCCUCGCUCUCAUCGCUUCAUCCAUAGCUUUGGGCGAUGACUUCACUUCAUCAGUUGUUAUUGUUUAAGUCUUGGUUCCUUCUUAUGAUUUUUGAUGUCAAAACCAUCGAAUCGGACUGAUGUUUGAUGGAGAUUGCUUUGGUUUCGAGCUUGCUGGUUAGCUGGUAUCUCGUUCAAGUUCUGGUUUGGUGGUUCGAGUAUCGUGUCAAUUGUUGUUCACUCUGCAAUAUAUUAGAUUUUGGUUUUGGUCUGUAGGAAGCGACCUUGUUUCAGAAAAUACAACACAUUGUCCUUGAGGUCCAUUCUUGCCUCUUUCUUUAUUGUAGAAUUUUUUUUUUCACAUAUGUUAGUUGUGUUGUGCUUGCAGUUCAUUCUUUAAUUGGUAUUUUGUGGAUGAUUUGCAAUUUUUUGGUUUCAGAUCUGUUUGAAUUAGAACCUUUAAAUGAAUGCC
rnacentral:lncRNA from 1 species